rnacentral:rRNA from 1 species
UAAUAGCGUAUAUUAAAGUUGUUGCAGUUAAAAAGCUCGUAGUCGGAUGUCGGGCUCGGAGAGGCUGUCGGCCUUUGGUCGGACGGCAUGUCCGGGCCUUUCUGCCUGGGGAUCCUAUUCUACUUAACUGUAGGGUAGUGGGACGCAGGCCGUUUACUUUGAAAAAAUUAGAGUGUUCAAAGCAGGCCUACGCUUGAAUACAUUAGCAUGGAAUAAUGGAAUAGGACUUUGGUCUUAUUUGUUGGUUUAUGGGACCGAAGUAAUGAUUAACAGGGACAGUUGGGGCCGUUUAUAUUUCGUUGUCAGAGGUGAAAUUCUUGGAUUUACGAAAGAUAAACUUCUGCGAAAGCAUUCGGCAAGGAUGUUUUCAUUGA